GUAAUAUCUAUUCGAUUUAUAUAUGUAUUGCAAUUGUAUGGUUUGUCAUGCGCUGCACGUGCUUAUAGAAAGGCAUGCGUCACGUCUCUGUCUGUAAACGCGGUUCACUGACCAAGGUUCAUUGUGCACGAUAUUUGUCAUAGUGACAAGUGAAAUAUUCAACAUUCGCGACUUUAUUUUGUGUCCGUGGUUGCGAGUCAACGAUAAAUGAAUUUACAUAUUUAAGGCUGCGGAAGAGAAAUGCACGUUAUAUUUACAUAUCGCGACAGUAAUCAGGAGUCGGAGAAUUACAGUGUUCGAGAAAGAUUGGUCUGAAUAAUAAUUAUAAAUAAUUAUAAAAGAUUUACAUAUUUUCGUAAAUAAUUUUAUGUAUUUUUUACAGAUAAUUUAUGCGACAUUGUGUUCUUGGAAACUCUAUGGAUUUUACGGUGGAUCUACAGGCUUAAUGUUGACCUUACUCGUCACAAAGCAACCGGAGCAGCGUUCGCGUGCACUUAUUGUACUUUCGUGGCUAUAAUUCAACGUUUGUGAGCCUGCAUUGAAACACGCGGCGGUCAUGUGUCCUACGAAGGCUGACUAAUUCCCGGAAUUGGUGCAAGACUUGCCGGCAAUGCGCGUAAAGUUCUUUCUUUCGCGUGUCCUUACAUACUAAUUCAUCGAUCUGCAUCGAACUUUACACGGCUUUCAGUCUACCGGAAAUUUCUUGUUAACGCUUCGCUGACCGCAGAACGACAAAUGCUCGCCCUUAUCAGUUUUAUCUCGUGAAAAGGUGUAAUAUUACGUCAAUGGUUCCCAGCUACGAAGAACAAAAAGAUGCUCUACUACGUCAACGAUCGCAAAAAAGAUUUCACCGGGAUGGAGAAAAUCGGGCGCGCCAGCUCUCGUCGAGAUUAACUGUUGUAGAACGUCGAGUUAUCGAU